rnacentral:lncRNA from 1 species
UAGCAACCUCCCUGACAAAUGACAGUAGCCUGAAAAAGUGAGGAAGUACAAUGUCAGAUGGUAUAGCCUGGAAAACGACAGUGCACAGAGAGAAAUAAGAUGUACGAGGUUCAUAGAAAAAAUGCGAUUAAAUAACCACACAUGGAGGUUGUAUGAAGAAGAAAUUCACAAAAGAUUCCAACUAUACAUAUAUAGGAGGUAGCAGACACUUUCUCACUACAUACUAUUGUGGACUUCUCAAAUGGAAAAUGACAGGCAUAUCUAUUAGACAGAAUUGAGGCACCAACAUGCAAAUUGUACAGUUGUUCUGGGCAACAAUUUCUUCCUAUGACAAUAACCCUGGAUGUGGGCUCUUGCUGUAAACGACAUCACAAGACCAUCAAGCACUUUCAAGUCCAGCUGAAGUAGAGUGAAAGAAAAUCAUUUCUGAGAGUUAUGAAAGGUCAUGAGUGAGGAAAUGCAUUCCAGGUACUCCCGAAGACAUUUGGACACACACGGUGAAUGACACAUGAAGAUGGAGGCAGAGAUCGGAAUGAUGUAUCUACAAGCGAUGGUCCACCAAAGAUGAUCAGCAAACCACCGGAAGCUGGGACAGAGGUCUGGAACAGAGCCUCCCUCACAUCCCUCAGAAGGAACCAACCCUGCCAGCACCUUAAUCUCACACUUCUAGCCUACAGAAUUCUGAGACAACACAUUUCUGUUGUGUACACAGAGACACAUAUUAAAUAAACCUUCUACAAGAGUAACCCGUCCAGAAAUGCAGCAAGAGGCUUCCAAAGGGCUAGAUUUAUUACAAAUUAAUCAAAUAGGUAAGAUGGAUCAUAAUGGAUAUUCCAGCCAAUGUAAACUGAGAGGAAAAGAAAAGCUCCGGCGGCAAGUCAAGAGCCAAAUGUUUCUGUUUUGAUUUAUUUAGCAUUUCCGAGAUGUUUCUUCUGUGGGGAACAAUAUGCAAGGCAUUGGAAAUUCAGAAGGCACAUCUUUUGUGUACCAUAAAAAUGUGCUGCUAACCUACAAUACCCUUAUAGAAAUACAAUUCAAUAAGAAACUCAGUUGGGAAGAUGUCUCAAUAGAACAACAUGAAAAAAAUGGUCAAUACAAGAAUGAUUCACUUUACUUUUACAAGGGAUUUCGAUGCUACGAAUAGAAAUGCCUUUGGA